rnacentral:lncRNA from 1 species
GCUUUGCCAGUUUACAUGAACCUCCUAUUGAUUUGGGUUUGUACUGCUAUCUGCAAUAAUAUAUACGAAGACUACCAUGGUUCAGAGUUGUUACCAAGAAAGUUUCUAAUAUAUGACGGCCUGCUCCAACCAUCCUCCAUCAGAAUUAGGUUAAGGCGUAUCAUCAAUUUCUCUGCGGCAUCUUCCUCCAAAACGGUUAACGAAUCAGACGGUCGCCUCCGUAGUGGACAACCCUGAAAAAUCCAAAUGAAGGUACUUAAAAUAGAUUUGCUAUCAAAGUCAUACGUCGAUAUACAUGUAGAAAUGAGAAAACGUACCUUUUUGUCCUGAUACAACUUUAGAUAUUCAAGUGAUUCCUCAUAAAAUCCACAAUGGUAGAGAAGAAUGCUGUAAUCUCUUUAAUUCCUUCGAAAAAAAAAUGAGCUGGCCAAUAAUUCAGUGGAGUACACACGUUAAAGCAUAAAGAGAGAAUUGGUGGUUGAGCUUUGUGUUGUGGGUGGAAAAAGUUUAGGUUAAAAAUUUGUCGGUGUGAUGAGUGAUGGUUGCUUUCUUUCUACUUUCCUAAAGCAACAUCGGUGCAAUGGACUAUUGUCAUGUGUUCAGGGAUGAGUGCUUUCUUUCUACUUUGCUAAAGAAACAUCGGUGCGAUGGACCAUUGUCAUGCGUUCCACUAAUAUUUGUAUGUCCUGUGUCACUGUUUAUAGGUUCCACUAAUAUUUGUCUGUCCUGUCACUCUUUAUAACUUACAAGAGAGUUCCUAUCGUUCUAGAGUGGGCGCAUGAUGCUGCUGAACUAAAAACUGAAAUCGAAAUGGUUACGAAACGAACCCUAAGUUUCUCUCCUUAUUGAGUAAAUUUUAGUUAGGUGAAUCAUGCAUGUAGAUUUACACAUUAUGUAGAUAUAUGAUUCCACAUAAUUUUAUUAUUACUCAAUCACAAAUGAGGUAACAAUUUGUUAUAUACAUCAAUUUACAUGAGAGUAUCACAAGCAGAUAAUAGACCCCUUACUAGCUCCGCUGUCGUACAUUUUGCCGGUUCAUUCUUCCAAUAUUCCGGCAUUCAAAUUUACUGAUGAUCUGGUCACUCAAUACAAUUACUACAUAAAAAACUGGCACCAAUAGGAAUAUGCAGAAUGUGGCAGGACUCAUAUCUCCGGUUUUGUUCAUCUUGUUAUAUACGGAUAGAAAACACCGCAUGUCUAGCAAAACUUUUCCAGGAAGAAGUUCACUUAAAGUGCCGCUUUGCCAGUUUACAUGAACCUCCUAUUGAUUUGGGUUUGUACUGCUAUCUGCAAUAAUAUAUACGAAGACUACCAUGGUUCAGAGUUGUUACCAAGAAAGUUUCUAAUAUAUGACGGCCUGCUCCAACCAUCCUCCAUCAGAAUUAGGUUAAGGCGUAUCAUCAAUUUCUCUGCGGCAUCUUCCUCCAAAACGGUUAACGAAUCAGACGGUCGCCUCCGUAGUGGAC